GUUUGUUGACCCAGCAUGGGUUUAUUUUUCUCUCUCCUCCUCCUCUUCCUCAAUUAAGAUAUUAAUAUUGGAAGCUGCAAGCGCUGUCUCUUCCUCAUUUUCAAAAUAACGUAUAUUUGCAGGGAAAUAAUUCAAGGUUCGGUGGCCAGAGGGCUUCUCUGUAAGCAACGCCGCCUGAGGAGAAGAAUUAGAUGACCUACCAUCCUAUUUCUCACAAAAAUUGGAUCUUUCUUCAGCACCGAUAACUGAAGAGCAUCCUUCACUACAACGGAAGGCAACAGGCUACAUGAAAGGGCUGAACUGAAAUCUGGUGAUUGACCAUAGCCCCGUCCCUGUCGUACAUCCAACAGAUAAAGAACCAUAAGAAGAAAGCAUAGCAGCGUUGUUGUUGUCGAUCAGCAGUGAGCAUCUGCACAGCUGUCUUGAGCAGGCGUAGAACUCAGUGUCAACUUUGCCUUGCCUCGGAAGAGGUUCCAGUUUUCACCUCCUUGCCUUGUCUCCUGACUCCGUGUUGAGUUCCCAGUUCCAGGCAAGCCGUGUCGAGCCGUGACUCCCGAGUAGACCUUGCCUUGUUACCGCGACUUCCUUGUUCUCGAAUCAAGAUUGACUUUGCCUUGUUUACCGUGCUUCCUUGAUUUUGCUAUGGGACUUGUCAAGUGGAUUUGCAGUGCUUUGUUCCUGCUAUUGUUUAAUGGACAAACUUUGAUUUCUUAAAGGAAGCUAUCAAGCUUCACUUGCGGAUUACAAAUUGAACAUUGAUGAACUCUUUCUGAAUUGUAAUAGACUAUAUAUUAUGGACUAUUUCUUACUCUGACUUUCCACCUUAAAUGUGCAUAGACAUAUAUACUCUGCUUCAAUAAACAGCCUGUGUGUUAUAUUGGCUCCUGCCUGGUUUUCGGGUGCAACACCCCCAAUCCUCCUCCCCUGAUCCUCGGACUGUCCUCUUAACAUUAUGCUGGGAGGGAGGAAGGUGAGACAGGUAGCAGCUGAGAGUGCUCUCAGCCACCACAUGCCUUCUUUGAAACAUGCUCCUGGCAUAAGGACAAAGUUGUUCAUACUGUCCUUAUGCCGGGAGGAGGACAAGAAACACGGUGGCUGAGAGCGCUCCAGAGGGCUCUCAGCUGCUAUGUGCCUUCCUCCCCCAUCUUUUUGGCAUAAGGACAUGGCGGGCUGGUGUGUCCUUCUGCCAAGAGGACAGGGAAAAUGAGGAGGGUCUGAGAUAAGCACCUGGGGGGCUGCAUCCGGCCCAUGAGCCUUAGCUUGCCCAUGCCUGGAUUAGGCCAUUGCAUUGUGUUUACAAAUCAAAAUUAAUGUUUGGGUGCUAGUAAUUUUUUUAAAAAAAACUUAGCGGAUACAUUUAUUAUUAACUGAUGUUUCUGUUUGAAACUGUGGAAGAGGCAAUGUGGUUAACAAAGACAGAUGCACUUUCAUUUUUAUUGUUAAGGAUACAAGUUAAAAAAUGUUUGGUACAAACAACUUCUGUUCACAGACAGCUUUCCUUUUUAUUGGUGCCUCUAUUGAAAAAUUCUUUAUUGUUUGGAGUUCUAGCUGACACUGUGUGUAAUAGAUUUCUUGGAAACAGAGUUUAACCAUUAAACAUGAGGAAGUAUGUCAUAAUUUUCUGCAGUUAAAUGCCUGGAGGUGAAGCUGAGUGAAUUUAAUGCAUCAAGAAGGGUAAUUAUCAGAUAAUCUUGAUUGCCAAGAUUCUUCUUGCUCCAGCAGAAGACUAUUAGCAGUGUAUGCAUAUGAACAUUUAAAUCUCCACAAUUCAUUCCUAUGUUUUGUUAUCAAUAGCCGGAUGCUUCUCGUGGUGUUUUACUCUUUCUCUUUUGAAUAUUUCUGCUGCAUUUCCCCUUUUGUUGUUCAGCCCAGUUCUUUCAUCAUAAAUUGUACUCUAUUUUCUUUAUACUUUUUCUUUCAGUAAUAGCUAUAUGACUGUUUCUGUGUUAGAAAAUUGGCAAAAAAUAAUAAUAUAGCAACAUCACUGAAUAGAUUUUAUGAAUAACG